rnacentral:rRNA from 1 species
UGGGGAAUUUUGGACAAUGGGCGAAAGCCUGAUCCAGCAAUGCCGCGUGUGUGAAGAAGGCCUUCGGGUUGUAAAGCACUUUUGUCCGGAAAGAAAUCCUUGGCUCUAAUACAGUCGGGGGAUGACGGUACCGGAAGAAUAAGCACCGGCUAACUACGUGCCAGCAGCCGCGGUAAUACGUAGGGUGCAAGCGUUAAUCGGAAUUACUGGGCGUAAAGCGUGCGCAGGCGGUUUGCUAAGACCGAUGUGAAAUCCCCGGGCUCAACCUGGGAACUGCAUUGGUGACUGGCAGGCUAGAGUAUGGCAGAGGGGGGUAGAAUUCCACGUGUAGCAGUGAAAUGCGUAGAGAUGUGGAGGAAUACCGAUGGCGAAGGCAGCCCCCUGGGCCAAUACUGACGCUCAUGCACGAAAGCGUGGGGGAGCAAACAGGAUUAGAU